GCGUGGUUUCACUAUUGCAAUGUUCUGGGCAGGCUUGCUGCGUGGGGCUACCAGGCCUGUAAUUCCCCAAGCAGCGAGAGCUGCUUCUUGCGAGGCAAGCAAGAUUUCAUUUUUGCUCAAAAAGCAUUUUUUGCACCUCCUUAUUGUGGAGGAAAGAGCAAAGAAUAGAGCUUUGGGAAUCUGGUUGUUAUCAGAGCCAGUAAAAUUAAAGUUGAGUGACCUCGGAGGCCUGAACGUGCUGCAGAUAUUGGAACUUCAUUUCAGUGCCGCUAAUAUGAAUGCAGCUAUCUAUGGGGACUGAUAAAACAUACCUUCUAAAUCACCUUUGUGGUUGAUACAGUGAUUCUUACUCCGACAGAGUUCCUAUGAGCUUGGCAAAAGCUUGGGUGUACAGCCCAAAACCCAAUCAUCCUUAUGGCACUAAAAGAAAAAUCUUAGAGGGAGCGAGUAAUAGCUGAGCUUGGGAGCAUAUCCUUCAAAGGCUCUGUGCAAGUGUGUGGGCUAAAAUCUAGACCUUUUUAGGAAAAAUGUGACACUCGUGAAGAUACUGGUGUUGAAUUAUGACUUAAUUCUUCUUCAUGAACUUGCCUUUGAAAAUGUGAUUCUUGAACUCCAUUUCUACCUUGUGAAACAGCUAAGAGUCAUAUGUCCUGGACAGUUAGCUUUAAAAAACAAGCAGAUUUUCAUGACUAUUCACAAUAAUCACAUUCAAGAGGUAUUAUUGCAAAAUUAAUUACAUUGAUUCUGUCAGAUCUAGGGUUUUUUUUUUGUUUUGUUUUGUUUUUUCUUUUAAGCUGCUGCAUUAGCUAAUGGAGUAUUCACA